rnacentral:rRNA from 1 species
AUACGAACUGUGCAAACGUUAUUCGGAAUCACUGGGCUUAAAGGGUGCGUAGGCGGGUUUGAAGGUCUGAUGUGAAAGCCCACGGCUCAACCGUGGAAUUGCGUUGGAAACCACAAGCCUUGAGGGAGUCAGAGGUGAGCGGAACUAAUGGUGGAGCGGUGAAAUGCGUUGAUAUCAUUAGGAACACCGGUGGCGAAAGCGGCUCACUGGAACUCUUCUGACGCUGAGGCACGAAAGCUAGGGGAGCGAACGGGAUUAGAAACCCCAGUAGUCC